rnacentral:lncRNA from 1 species
AAUCAUCACCAGCCAGCAGCUCUGUCACUGGACCGGGGGUGUGAAUACCAGCGUACACCACUGUGACAAUGGCAGCUGCGUGCGUGUCAUCCUCACCGUGAACUGGAGUGACUGUGGGCUGCCGCCUGGCUCCAGGCCCGGGCUCCUCGCUCCCCUCCAUACUCAGGCCUGCACACUCCUGGAGCUUUCUCUCAGUCUGGGAGGCCACUUCUCUGACCCUAAUUCCCAUCUUCACACAAGAAGUUCCAGGCCAUAAGAAAUAAGCUGAAGUCUGAGCUCCUCUGCAACCUCAUCCACAAUACCUCAAUGUAUACUGCCCACAGAUAAGCAAUCCAGCUCUGAGACAUUUUUAAAGGGGCCGAGAUGCCUUCGCUAAAGUGGUCCAGGAAGAUGAACACAGAAAGCCAUCUUCUGCGUUAUUUGAGGAUUCAAUGGGAACAAGGAGGACCUUCCCCGCAGUCCUGAGAAGAGAUUCCACAUUCCCGAGCGCCUGCCUCCAGACUCUGAGCUCAGAGAUGAAAGUGGACAACAUUCACUCAGCAAAGACGUCCUGGGCGCCUCCUACGUGCCAGACACUGUUCUAAGAGGAUGGGGUGUGACCAAAGAGCCCUGCCCUGGACACGCUGACAGUGAGAGGGUGCUGGUCUGUCUUGAUGUGACGAGUAUGCGCCUGCCUUUGGCAAGCUGGCUCAUCUGCUGGCUGUCAAGACUUUACCUUUUCACAGAGCCAAAGCCAGCCUGGAGAGGCUUUCCCUCCAACUACCUUGGUAGGGAGAGUGAACCGUGGCCUGCCAGCCGGGCCUCCAGAACCACAGCCAUCAGCACCACCACACCUCAGGUCCUGAAGUCACCUGUCUAGAAAAAACAAACACAUCUCAGGUGUCAGAGAAGCACUGCUUUCCUCUUUUCCGAAGCCACUGGGGGAUGGCGGGGAAGGGGUAGGACUGGCCUGCGGCUUUCCUUUCCUGAGGGAAAGGUUUGGAGGCUCUGCACUGCUACUACAAGGCCUCUGAGGUUUGGCUUCCUCCCCAGCAAGCUCCCAGCAAGGUGCAACUCACAGGCCUACACC